rnacentral:lncRNA from 1 species
UUCUUCUGGGUUUUUUAUUCUUUGGGUUAGAAGUUUUGGACAGACAAAAAAGAAAGAUGGAGAAUAUAGUUAUUUUCAUUCUUUUAUAAUGGAAACCCAGCAGAUUACCCAACAUGUCACGGUAGUUCUCCUCAAUAAACAGCAUGACCUUUGAUGUGGGUGAGAUAGGAGUACUAUUAGAAGACGUAAACUUGAAAAAAGACUAGUGAAAGAUUGACUUUGGUGGUAGUGGAGAGAGCACUGUUACCACAUUCUGGGGUUGCUAUGCACCCAUUAUUUCUCAGCUUUCAGAACGACAUGGACCUGAGAUUUCUUAUACAUCAAAGAUGUAUGGAUAGUGUGAUUGUCGUCCAACCAAGGUUCAUUUGACCCACCACCCCCACCAGGUAGGGUUUUGGAUGUCCCUCCCUUCUUUAGUACUUUUAAAAAUCUUUCUUUUUUUUAAACACAAUUUUUUUUUAAAGAUUUAUUUCAGUCCUUUAAUACCAAAUUUUUAGCUUUACCCCUUUGACGUCGGUAUUCAAUUGCAGGCCCAUCUCAAGCAUGGGUUGAGACUUUGAAUUAUUUUAAAUAUUUAAAGAGAAUUGUAUCUUUAUGUUAUGUUUUGCAUUAUAUUUUCAUUUAUAGUACAUUUUUGUAAAAUUUGUUAUAAGAUUCAAUUUCAAAAAAAUUUCAUG